CACAGCCUGAUCAGCUACAUCAGGCUAUACCUGGAACAACCCUGCUGAAGUCCACAUUAUCAGCUUCCCAGGGAGUAGGUGAUUUUGGAAAUGAGGUUAACAAAAGUCCAUGCUGAAGGUUAUGUUAAGAACAAAUAAAGGAUGGAAUUAAA